GUGUCAGCCGCCGCGGUAAAACGUAGGAGACGAACGUUAUCCGGAGUUACUGGGCGUAAAGGGCGUGCAGGCGGCCUAAUAAGUUCGGCGUGAAAUUUCCCGGCUUAACCGGGGGAUGUCGUCGGAUACUGUUGGGCUAGAGGGCGACAGAGGUGUGUGGAAUUCCGGGUGUAGUGGUGAAAUGCGUAGAGAUCCGGAGGAACACCAGUGGCGAAGGCGACACACUGGGUCGCACCUGACGCUAAGACGCGACAGCAUGGGGAGCGAACGGGAUUAGAAACCCGGGUAGUCC
rnacentral:rRNA from 1 species